rnacentral:lncRNA from 1 species
GGUGGUAGGGAGGCUCAAGAGGGAGGGGAUAUAUAUAUACUUAUAGCUGACUCAUAUAAGUAUAUAUAUAUACUUAUAGCUGUUGUACAGCAGAAACCAGCACAACAUCGUAAAGCAAUUAUCCUCCAGUUAAAAAUAAAGUUCAAAAAAAGAGAAGGGAAAAAAAACUAAAGGAUCACUAGACACACACAGAAUAACCUAAGUAAACCAAGAAACUCCAGGAAAUAGCUAAGGGAGCUGGUGGCUGUUUGUGUCAUGGUGGUGCGUCAUUCAGGAAUUGCUGACCAGCCCUCUAGGGGCAGAGCUCACUGGCUGGUCACAAAUCCCACUAAUCCCCGUGGGCUGUGUUGCCCCAGCUGACUGCAGAGAGCAGCAGAGACAAGAUUCUCCCAGGCAGAGCAAAGGUGUCUGGCAAGACUGCCCAGAGGAACUGCAGAGGAACCAUCCAGAAGCCGGCAGAGUUUGAACCAAGAAACUUCCGGCAAAGGAGAUACUGUUAACGAAAAGAAGGAAGGAAGAUUGGAAGAAAGGAAGGAGGGAAGGGAGAAAAAAGGAAGAAAAGGAAAAAACCUUGCAACACAAACCCCAAUCGCUUCAAGAUUUACUGUGAUUCCAUUUUCAUUUUCUAAUCUCAUUGCCUAAGCCCUAAAUCACCACACUUUGGUUUCAGUGCAAAGAAAAAAACGUUUGCAGUCCUCUCCUACCCCAUGCCUAUCAGAGUACGUCUUAUACAAAGAGAAGGCAAGAGGGUCUGGGGGACCGAGGAUAUCAAGUCCCUACAAAAGCUCCCAGCCCUCACGCCCGUGCUCUUGCUCCCGGUCUGAUGUCUCCAUGACUCAGGGCUCUGCAGCGAUGGUCCCCUACCCACGGAUGCCAGAGCAACUUUUACCAGUGUCCCUCUUUGGAUGACCAUUCCACAUUCUUUCAAAGAGGAUCCCAUCUAUUUCCACCCCAACCUAACUCACACCCUGCAAAAGCAUUAACACCAUGAAGAAUGACCUCUUUUAGCAAAAGCGAGGAAGAAUUCAGGCUCAGAACUGAAGAAGCCUAAGUUUCCGCUUCAACUUUCUCACUUACUUGUGUACCCUUGGCCAGGUUUCCUCG